UACAGAGGUCUCAAGCGUUGUUCGGAUUCAUUGGGCGUAAAGGGUGCGUAGGUGGCGCGCUAAGUCAGGUGUGAAAUCUCGGGGCUUAACUCCGAAACUGCAUUUGAUACUGGCGUGCUCGAGGACUGGAGAGGAGACUGGAAUUUACGGUGUAGCGGUGAAAUGCGUAGAUAUCGUAAGGAAGACCAGUGGCGAAGGCGGGUCUCUGGACAGUUCCUGACGCUGAGGCACGAAGGCCAGGGGAGCAAACGGG
rnacentral:rRNA from 1 species